GCGAGCGGAACCACAGAUUUACUUCGGUAAUGACGUUGGGAACCCUAGCGGCGGAUGGGUGAGUAACACGUGGGGAACCUGCCCCUAAGUCUGGGAUACCAUUUGGAAACAGGUGCUAAUACCGGAUAAUAAAGCGGAUCGCAUGAUCAGCUUUUGAAAGGCGGCGUAAGCUGUCGCUAAGGGAUGGCCCCGCGGUGCAUUAGCUAGUUGGUAAGGUAACGGCUUACCAAGGCGACGAUGCAUAGCCGAGUUGAGAGACUGAUCGGCCACAUUGGGACUGAGACACGGCCCAAACUCCUAUGGGAGGCAGCAGUAGGGAAUCUUCCACAAUGGACGCAAGUCCGAUGAGCAACGCCGCGUGAGUGAAGAAGGUUUUCGGAUCGUAAAGCUCUGUUGUUGGUGAAGAAGGAUAGAGGUAGUAACUGGCCUUUAUUUGACGGUAAUCAACCAGAAAGUCACGGCUAACUACGUGCCAGCAGCCGCGGUAAUACGUAGGUGGCAAGCGUUGUCCGGAUUUAUUGGGCGUAAAGCGAGCGCAGGCGGAAAAAUAAGUCUAAUGUGAAAGCCCUCGGCUUAACCGAGGAACUGCAUCGGAAACUGUUUUUCUUGAGUGCAGAAGAGGAGAGUGGAACUCCAUGUGUAGCGGUGGAAUGCGUAGAUAUAUGGAAGAACACCAGUGGCGAAGGCGGCUCUCUGGUCUGCAACUGACGCUGAGGCUCGAAAGCAUGGGUAGCGAACAGGAUUAGAUACCCUGGUAGUCCAUGCCGUAAACGAUGAGUGCUAAGUGUUGGGAGGUUUCCGCCUCUCAGUGCUGCAGCUAACGCAUUAAG
rnacentral:rRNA from 1 species